UACGAAGGGGGCUAGCGUUGCUCGGAAUCACUGGGCGUAAAGGGCGCGUAGGCGGCCGAUCGAGUCAGUGGUGAAAGCCUGUGGCUCAACUGGGGAGGGUCACGCGAUACUGAUCGACUCGAAGGCAGGAGAGGGUAGUGGAAUUCCCGGUGUAGUGGUGAAAUGCGUAGAUAUCGGGAGGAACACCAGUGGCGAAGGCGACUACCUGGCCUGUUCUUGACGCUGAGGCGCGAAAGCUAGGGGAGCAAACGGG
rnacentral:rRNA from 1 species